UAAACAAGGGAGAUAUAAACAAGGG
rnacentral:piRNA from 1 species